rnacentral:lncRNA from 1 species
UAAAUUGCUCGCGCCGCGCGCGAGUCUAUCUAUCGGUUUUAAACGGCAACAUUUGGAAGGUUUGCAACUAUGCGAAGGUCGCGAGACGAGGACAUACACGUUGCCACCCUCUAGGACCACCUGUCCAGCGUCGUCACCAUGGCGCCCACUCGCAGCUUCGUUGAGGUACGCCCUCUGACCGCGAGACAUGGUCUAGUCGCGGAGACGCAACGGUAAUUAUAGGGGAUUGCGCCAUAUUGCACUGUUGGCGACGACGUUCUUGCUCUUCCUUUCUCACCGUCGUCGUGCUGCUUUAUGUCUUCCCGCUUCCGUUCGUUGACCAACCCAUGGUUGCUUCCUGCCACCCACCACUGCUCUACGUGAUUUUUAUCUUCAGUUCAUUUGGUGUCCUCUAGAAUAAUCGUGAGCUAUCGAAUCACAGAGCAUCCGCUGCACGCGCGAGGAGGUAGUAAGCUGCAACAUCUCUAUUGAAACGUGAUUGUAUGGCUCAAAUAAAAAAGACGGCAUGGACACAAUCAAAUUGGAUAACUUAAUGAUGUGUCUCCUUAGGAUUGCUUCAAAGUUUUUGGGGGCAAAUCUUGCUUUGAUCACCAACCUUAGAUGCCCAUGAAGUGACCCACUUGUUCCCAUUUCAGCAAGUAAAAACAUCAUCACAUGCUCAGGUUGUCUAUGCAUCAUGGAGAUACAAAUUUCAAAGUUAAUUUAUUGUAAAUUUAUCAAUGAAGUAGCAGAGAGCACUUAAAAAGGUGAGGGACUACCAAUUAAAAAUAUGUUGUCACAAUUAUGUUGAAACUUACAUUUUACACAAAUUUAUAAAAGUAACAAAAAAUUAUCUUCCUUGUUCCCUUCCUAAGAACAUGUGGUGGCCUCAUAAUGGUCCUACACCUAUCCCAGCAAGACCUGGUUGUUGUCGCGAAUAAUGUUGAACACCCUGCCCAACAGCCGCAACAGAAAAGCUCAAGGUCAAAUUUCACAAAAAAGGUAACAUAACGGUGUGGUGAUUUGGUUCGUCCAAUGUAGUUAUAUAUUGAAGAUCCACAACAGAAGAAGUAUUGAUAAAGAAUAUUGACAUAUCACAUAUUAACCAAAAGUAUAUGAAUGCUCCCACAGAAACAGGUCUAGGUAGCAUGCAAGUAGUAAACUCGUAACAACAAAAUAUGGUUGUAAUGUCACAGAACAUUAGAACCACCAAGGUGUAAAGCUAUGAGGCAAUUGUGACAUAUCAUAUAUCAGCCAAAAGGCCACCAAAUAGUCACAUGUUUACUAACGGCCAAUGCACAUGGAUCCAUGUUUACGUGGACAAAAUAAUUGGCAAAAAAAUAUUUAAGCACCUGUUCAUAGUUAUAAUCUCGGCCAGUUCCCUCCCAAGGGUAUGUUGGGACACUUCAAAGCAUAAUGCCUUCCCCUAGUUCCUGUACAACUUGAUCAUCUGAAAAGCAGGGAGAGCCAGAUAUUGCAAAAGUACUCAAGUUGAAUUAAAAUCCACCUGAAAUUUUUGUAGGAUGAACAAAUGUAAAGCCUUAAUUCACUGGUUGAUUUUUAAACUUGCACAAUGACUAAAUGUAAAGCCUCGAUUCAUUUUCUGAUUCUUAAACUUGUCUAGUCUAGCUCCCAAUGAGUGUAUCUGUUGUGCCUGUUUAUCUUCCUCAUUCUAGUGAAGUUAAGUACACCGGAUUCUGUGACUGCCAGUGUUUUUUCUGUCUUCUCUGCAAAGUUGUCCAUUCCAUCAGAAGGUUUUUGGAUGACGACCUCCUUAAUUUUCUUCUUCUUGUCGGAUCAAAAGGGGGCAAGUCGUAGGAGAAGAAAAAAUAUAGAUACAUGAACAUGUAGUGGAAUAGAACCUUAAAUGUAACCCACAACUCGCAAGCUCAACCCUAGCUGGAACCGCUAUGAAUCAAGGCAAGCAACCGAACAGGCGAACAACACUAUAAUUAUCAGAAACACUAUCAGCGCAACGAUGGAGAAUACACAGCUCACUUCUGAGGCCUCCUCUCUUCUCUCCGGAUGCUCCUCAUCUGCCAUGGCUGACGUGGUCGCCUUCACCUCCGUGACCAUGUGCGCUGACGCCAUCAACAUGCUCCUUGCCACCCAACAGAAGACGUCAGUUCCGUCAGCCCGCUCACGACAUAGGGAUAUAUGGCUGGCUAAUCCGCCUCCAAUGGCGAGCGGUCAUGGAUGCCGAUAGAGAAGAGGAAAGGGGAGGGGGCUCACAUUUUCGGAUGAUGCCAUCGUCGUCAUGCUUUGCCUAGUCCGCAAUGAGGGGCAGGGCGGCGCCGUGAUCCCCGUCCUCGCCGAGCGCCAUCAACGACAGAUCAUCGGGCGAGUGGUCCAUGCUGGUCGUCGGGCUCUGUCGGCCCCGAUCCUAAAUUCCUAAUCCUCUUACGAUGCGGAAGAAUGAAGAAAAGGUGAAGGGGACUGCAUCGCUCGCCGGUCGGCGCCCGUCUUAGCGGCGCAGGCUCGCUCGCUCCUUGUUUCCCUGCUUCCCUCGCCCGGCGCCUGACGACCGCUUAUUUUUUUGCUGCAUAGAGGAUAAGUUGACUCAUAGACUGGAUUCUGGAAUUAUCGAGUAGAAGCCGAGUCGUUCGUCCACCACCAAGCAUUCGCUGCCGUCAGAAUGCGAUCGCACGGCCUAGAAAAAAGAGACCGACGUGGACGCAGCGAGCGACGAGAUUCCCUCCCCGCUCUAUUAUAAGGAAAUCUCACAGCAGCUGUUCG